AACGAACGCUGGCGGCAGGCCUAACACAUGCAAGUCGAACGCUGUAGCAAUACAGAGUGGCAGACGGGUGAGUAACGCGUGGGAACGCGCCUUUCGGUUCGGAAUAACUCAGGGAAACUUGAGCUAAUACCGGAUACGCCCUUCGGGGGAAAGAUUUAUUGCCGAAAGAUCGGCCCGCGUCCGAUUAGCUAGUUGGUGUGGUAAUGGCGCACCAAGGCGACGAUCGGUAGCGGGUCUGAGAGGAUGAUCCGCCACACUGGAACUGAGACACGGCCCAGACUCCUACGGGAGGCAGCAGUGGGGAAUAUUGGACAAUGGGCGAAAGCCUGAUCCAGCAAUGCCGCGUGAGUGAUGAAGGCCCUAGGGUUGUAAAGCUCUUUUACCCGGGAUGAUAAUGACAGUACCGGGAGAAUAAGCCCCGGCUAACUCCGUGCCAGCCGCCGCCGUAAUAC
rnacentral:rRNA from 1 species